CUAAAAAAGAGAGUUUUUGUGGAGUCAUUUCAAAAAGGGAUGCCUAACCUAAUUAUCACUUCUGCUGAUAACAUAUUUAUUUGUACUUUACAAAUUUAUUCUGAGGGUGAAAAUAGUGCUUUGCCAACUUUUGAUGAAGUUUUUUUAUGCUCUGAAUCUACUACACUUGAAGAAGUUACUAUAUUUUGGAUGAGGGUACUCAGUAAUCAAAAGAACAAUCGAAUUUACUGUUUACUUCAUGGUGAAAAACUACCAUACCUUAUUGCUGAAGAAUCAUUAGACCUACUA